rnacentral:rRNA from 1 species
GACAGAGGAUGCAAGCGUUAUCCGGAAUGAUUGGGCGUAAAGCGCACGUAGGUGGUUUGGCAAGUUGGAUGUGAAAGCCCCGGGCUUAACCUGGGAACUGCAUUCAAUACUACCAAGCUAGAGUAGAGUAGAGGGAAGUGGAAUUUCCGGUGUAGCGGUGAAAUGCGUAGAUAUCGGAAGGAACAUCAGUGGCGAAGGCGGCUUCCUGGACUCAUACUGACACUGAGGUGCGAAAGCGUGGGGAGCAAACAGG